rnacentral:rRNA from 1 species
AAAACUUUACAAUGCUGGAAACAGCGAUAAGGGGACCUCGAGUGCCAGGUUACAAAUCUGGCUGUCGUGAUGCCUAAAAAGCAUUGCAUAGCAAGGGCCGGGCAAGACCGGUGCCAGCCGCCGCGGUAACACCGGCGGCUCGAGUGGUAACCGUUAUUAUUGGGUCUAAAGGGUCUGUAGCCGGCCGGAUAAGUCUCUUGGGAAAUCUGGCAGCUUAACUGUCAGGCUUUCAGGAGAUACUGUCUGGCUCGAGGCCGGGAGAGGUGAGAGGUACUUCAGGGGUAGGGGUGAAAUCUUGUAAUCCUUGAAGGACCACCAGUGGCGAAGGCGUCUCACCAGAACGGACCUGACGGCAAGGGACGAAAGCUAGGGGCACGAACCGGAUUAGAUACCCGGGUAGUCCUAGCCGUAAACGAUACUCGCUAGGUGUCGGCAACGGUGCGACCGUUGUCGGUGCCGUAGGGAAGCCGUGAAGCGAGCCACCUGGGAAGUACGGCCGCAAGGCUGAAACUUAAAGGAAUUGGCGGGGGAGCAC